CUUAUAGUAAGUACACUUUCAUUAUAAUAUUUAUAAACACAAUUAAGUGCACUUUUAAAAUGCACUUUGUAAUAAUAUCUAAUUAAUUUGAACUUACAGUAAGUACACUUUCAUCAUAAUAUUUCACUAACACACUUAAGGACACUUUUUAAAAAUGCACUUUGUAAUAAUAUCUAAUUAAUUUGAACUUAUAGUAAGUACACUUUCAUCACAAUAUUUCACUAACACACUUAAGGACACUUUUUAAAAAUGCACUUUGUAAUAAUAUCUAAAUAAUUUUAAAUUAUAGUAAGUACACUUUCAUCAUAAUAUUUAUAAACACACUUAAGUGCACUUUUAAAAAUGCACUUUGUAUUAAUGUCUAAUUAAGCUUAACUUAAAGAAAGUACACUUUCAACAUAAUAUUUAUAAACACACUUAAGUGCACUUUUAAAAAUGCACUUUUUAAUACUGUCUAAUUAAGCUUAACUUAUAGUAAGUACACUUUCAUCACAAUAUUUCUUAACAUACUUAAGUACACUUUUUAAAAAUGCACUUUGUCUAAUUUAGUUUUACUUAAAUGUAACCCUGCUUAAAUAAUUAAAUAUUAUUAUUUUAAAAGUGUGCUUAAAAAUAAUAGAGACUAUUCAUACAUCUACAUUUAUUUUAUAAAUGAGGAAAUACAUGUGAAUAAUUCAAUCUGAAUAAUAAAUCUGAAAUGAGUAAACCAAUCGGAGUGUUUAAUUGUAAGCUCCGCCCCUUUUUUGCUUUCGGAUCGCGUCUCAGUUCAGAGGAGAGAUGCAGAGCGACAGAGACACUCUAUCUAACGCGAGAGUGUUUAAUUUGAUUAAAUAUGACUCCUAAGUUCAUAUAAACUGAAGAAAUCAGAAUUUAACUUGCAUAUAUUCAUUGAAUAAAGCGUGAUUGUGUGGAUUGAGCACUUUUUGAGCUUUCAUUUUGAACUGUGUGAUUAUGUAAAACCACAUGGUGUGUUGUGUUCACUGCUGUUCGCUGACGCCAUUUUGGUUGCACGUGCCUGUGAAAGACAAAAAGAGAGAGAAACACGUGAAUGGACAGGUAUUUGUCUAAAUUGUCAUUUAUUAUGAUGAUGGCACUUAUGUAUGUAUUUUAUUUGUUUCCUGUAUUGUGUACAAUUGUUCAUCAUUAUUGAUACACAAUAUUGAAUGUUUUUUCCUUUCGUAUGAACAUUCCUUGAGCUGGAUUUUCCUAAUUGAUGGCGAGCCUCCCAUUUCGACCUGAUUGGAUCACGAAUCUAGAGGAAAGGACACAUUUCUAUUUUAAAUAUUUUUCUUCAGACAAGUAAGAGGAUACAUUUCAGAAACUGUUUGCUUAUUUUGUUUGUUUACUUCAUUGAACUGAAACAUUUCAGAAGCACAAAUCUGAUAAUUUAAGACUGAUCAAUACUCCAAUUGAUAAGAACUUUGAUCUUGAAUACGGAUUUCAGUGUGUUACAUAUAUAAUUUGUACCAUCUUUGUACAUUGAUUGUGACUGUGAUUUCUGUAAAUGAGAAGUAAUUUAGAGGGUGCACCCAUAGUAUAUAUCCCCCUUCUUCAAAUCUUACCCUGGAGGUCCGGAGCACUACAGAGUUUAGCUCCAACCCUGAUCAAACACACCUGAGCAAGCUAAUCAAGGUCUUCAUGAUCACUAGGAAAUCACAGGUGGGUAAGUUUGAUUAGGGUUGGAGCUAAACUCUGUAGUGCUCUGGACCUCCAGGGUAAGAUUUGAGGAACCCUGGUAUAUAUAGUUAAUUGUAUUUUCAUUGUUGUUUACUAUUUUUUUGUGAUUAAGGAAAGAAAAAGAAAGGUUUCUCAAUACUCAAAGUAAAAUAAUUUAUUAAUCAACUUA